CGUUAUCAUACAGAAUUCUCCCAAAAGUGGUCCGGUUCUCAUCUCUUUGAGCGGGGAUUGAGUUUGUCUCUCAAUUUGGGUGAGACAACAGGACACGCGAUCCCAAGAAUAUCCAUCUCGCUCGAUGGCAGUCUUAUUGAAAAUGAUUUCCUACAAAGAGAAAAUUGAGUAAUUGGUAAAUUGAAAAUUUUACAAGAGAAAAUUUGAAAAUUGAAAACAAACUAAAAUUUAAAAAAAUCUCUUCAAGCAAAAUGACGAAAUUAUGUCAUUUGCAAAACUAUGUUUCAUUAAAAAUUUAAGUGAAUUGAAUGCGAAACAGAAUUAUUAUACAAGGGAGUAAAAAUAAUGUCCAAAUAACUGGAAAUUGCCAUAUUCACAUUUCCAACGGUGAACGUCCACUUCUUAAAUUUUCUACAAUCCUGUACUGGUUUUGAUAUCUUCGAAAAAUGAGAUUUUAUCGAAUCGGCCCACGGAUCCAAGUUUGGAAUUUUACAGUUUAGCGUAUCCACCAAAAACGAGUCUUGUUUCACAUUCGAGUCUAAUAGAUCUGAAAUAAUGUAAACACAAAUUUCCUAAAAAUUUAGCUUUAUUAUUGUCCAAAAAUUCUGAAUCAGAAUUUAUUACAAUUGUGUCUCUGUAACGAAGCAGGUUUCCUAUUUUGUAGCACGAUUCCACACAAAGUUAUGAAAAUUAGGAAGAAAAUCAAAAUAAAUUUGAAAAUUUUUCUCUUCGUAUUUAAA